UCAUGUGAUGUAUGGUUGACAGAAUGCUCUGAACAUCUUUUUCAUCCUGUUCCUUUCUUUUCUCACCCAAUUCUGUUCUCUGUCUCGUUGACAUGUUCUGCCCAGCCAUGUCCUUGACCUCCAUUGUGAUGGCUGCUCUCUCGUGCUGUGUCAGUGUCCACCUGUGGACUGCACCUUUGUUCAAUGAAAAACCUGAAAAGAACCACGGCAGCAUGAACCGGAUGCUGGAAAGAUGCAGACCCCAGUUUGCCUCUCGUGUGGCCCUGACGAAUGAUAGCAGAUCCUCUACCAUUUCAAUGUAGGAACUCCAAAACUGGAAAGGCAUUUUGGAGGUCAGCAGCAACUUUUAAAGCAGCUUCACAGCAGCCUUGAGAAAGGGUUUCAAGACCCAGCAGCAAUAACAUCAGCCUCAAUCAGAAUGUCUUGUAAGCCUGCAUCUCCAAAUCUCUUGCCAAUACAGGACAGGAAAGCCAUACAUGUGUGAAACUCCCCCAUUCUAAUUGUAAGUCUUUCCUUGUAUGUUUCACUCUUCCACCGUAUCUCCUGAGCUUUGGCAUAGAUGGCUUGGUCAAAGACUAGAACUAUCUCCUGAAGUUGGAGUCUGUCUGCAAUUUCUGUUGAUCUUUUAAGGAUGGUUUUUACAGUUCCCAAUUCUGUAGGACUUGCAUCAAUCACUGGAAGGUACCCAAU